rnacentral:tRNA from 2 species
GCAUGUGUAGCCAAGUGGUCGACGGCGCCGGAUUCGAAAUCCGGUGAGCAUUGCUCUCGUGGGUUCAAAUCCCCCCACAUGCG